GCUUGCUUGCUUAGCAAAGGCAGGUAGAGGCAUGUGAUGCAAAGGCAGACGGUUGCUUGUGAAGCCAUGUCAGGUGGUGUGUGCACUUUAGUGCUGGUGGCUCAGAGUUGAAGAUGCCUGAGCUGUGUGACAGCUGGGAGAGUGGGAUGGCCAAGGAUGGCCUAUGGUCCGAGCCCCCUGGGGAGAGAGUGAGAUCACUGAAGGGAGGGAAGAUUCUUAGAGUCUGAGGGGUCUAGAAAGGGAGCUGAAAGGUUUGGGGCUCCCUUGCUGUGCUCUGCGCAGGCUGUGGCAGUGCUGGGGUUUAUUUUGGAGUCAGUCUGAAAACAAAAUGAGACAAGGGGGUUUUCUGUGCAGUUUGAAGCCCUGCAACUCUGCUGCCGGGGCUGCAGCCCAGGGUAGGCACCCUGUCCCCACAACUGCUGACCACGUUCUUUCCUUCUCUGCAGUGACCACGUCCAGCCCUACGAAGACACUUUACAUCAUGUCGGACACCAAAGUGUCUGCGCUGACCACGUCUGUGAUGGGUGAGGCUACCUCAGUCCCUCUCAAAGUGCCUGGCAUCCAACCUUCCUCCUCCGCCAGCUCUCCUCCUAGCCCUGUCACCUUUGCCACCUCCCCAUGUUGUGUCGUGUCAUGGAGACCUGUGGUGCUGGAGCAGGCCUGAACUCCCCUCCCUGACAGCAGACACGUUUCUGAAAUCUCUGCUCAUUUCCUCAUCCUGCUGGCUCAUUCUGUAUUUCCAGCAUGGCCGUGCAGAAAGGCUGGGGAAGAAGACAGAGCUGGAGAAAGCACCAAAGAGAGAUUGCAAUGUCUUACCUAUGCUGUAUGAAUUGCAAGCUUGCCUACAAGCGGGAUCAUCCAGCAGCUUUCACACUCUCCCUUUGUGGAAAUGUAAUCAACUCAUUCAAUGGUGGGAUCAUGAAUGAGUCCAAUGAGAAGGCAGCAUCAACAGUGAAAGUUUGACUAUAAACUGAAAGAAUGAAUUACCAUGAUUGAAUGUGAACCAGUAGUCCAGUAAUAGUUCUAUGAAGUCUCAACACCUACCAGAUACUUAGCUUCUUUCCCAAGAGGCUCUCUCUAGGCACGAAUUUGGGGACCCUUUUCCCCUGUUCUAUGGAGCUCCUAUUCCCCAUUCCUCCGGAAUGCUGCUGGGAACUCCCCAGCUCACAGCUUACCACACUCCGAUUCUCGGAUUUAGGGCCAAUCCCUCUGGAGCACCUUGCUCCUUAAUUCUCGGAUUCAUAGGGGUGUACUGCUGGCACUUUGUCAAGUGCACAAGGUACCGCACACCAACAGCUCCCUGCCGAGAUUCACCCGAGUCUCCACCGACCCCCAAGGCAAGAAUUAAAUUCCCUUACCUUGCUCCGUGCACGAAGUUACCAGGUCUCCAGGGGUCAAUACCCGUGCCUACCUACCCCUUGGCUUUCUCAGAGCCCGUCCUUUAUGGAACAGCCUCGGUUUCUUAUCGGCCGUCCCAAGGAGUCACCUCACCACCCAGACAGGACCACUGAAAUCAGCGGGGUGCACCUGUCCUGUCCAGGGCAGUAGGGAAACCCCCGAGGGGCAAUAAUGAUCCUGGACAAGCCCCCAAAUUGUAGGAAAUAUCCAAAUAAUUUUCUAGGACAGUAUCUCUGAUAAAGCAGAUUUUAUUCGCAAUUGCAAUGGCGGGCCUCCUGCAAGCAGGAGAGCCCCGAGAAAACAGGGUUACAUCUUUUAUCCCCUACUGCCUGACGCUUCUCUCUUUCUGCCCUGGUUCCUCGUUGGCUGAGUACUGCAGGUUCACAAUCUUCUCAGCGCUUCACUAAACAUUGAAACACUGGAGAAACAUAAAUUUUUUUGCUGCAUAAGCGUAAAUCUGUAGUUAAUUAAUUAACUUAUUCCCCACCUGAUCAUUAUUUAUCUGCUUGUCCUUCUUUCUACAAAGAUAAGCUUGGGAGAGAGGCAGGGGAGGAUCCUGGUGCCUGCCCUCACACCCCAACCUUCUCAUGGAGUGAGACAGUUCGGCCUUGUGCAGAGGCCCUGACUUCUUUGAUGUUUGCAACAUUUGUCUUUCUUUUGCUGAGAGUUUCUUAUCCUAACAGAACAGCUCUACAAUAUGUUUUCUCAUCCUAACAGAACAGCUCUACGAUAUGUUUUCUAAUCCUUAGCACACUAUACUCGCAUUGUUUGGAACAUUUAACAACUAUUCCGGUUUUGCAAGAAAGAAUUAAUCACAUAAUUCAGUAAUAAUGUUUCUAAAACAUGCCACUAACAGAUAUAGGAUUUUACUUCUUAGAUCAACUAUUUCUAAGGAUAAGUUACAGAAUACAAAUGCAUGAUGUUCUACUUCUUCAAACCAAUUGCUACUUUUUAAUAUCAAAUGCAGAAACAACAUUCCAUUCCCACAAGGGUAAGGGAGAAAAGGGGAUGGGGAGGGUAGAGGAUGGGAAAAGAGGUAAGGGGAAGGAGAGGCUGAGGGAAGGGUUAAAGGAAAACCUAUGAUUAAAUCAGAAAAAAAGAGAGAAAAAGAAAAAAAUAAAGAGAAAAAAAGAAAAAGAAAAAAAGA